AGAGUUUGAUCCUGGCUCAGAAUGAACGCUGGCGGCGUGCCUAACACAUGCAAGUCGAACGGUAAGGCCCCUUCGGGGGUACACGAGUGGCGAACGGGUGAGUAACGCGUGGGUAAUCUACCUAGAAGUGGGGGAUAGCUCCGGGAAACCGGGGGUAAUACCGCAUGAGUCUCAGAUGACGCAAGUCGACUGAGGGAAAGACGGGGAUCUUCGGACCUGUCGCUUUUAGAUGAGCCCGCGUCCGAUUAGCUGGUUGGUGAGGUAAUGGCUCACCAAGGCAUCGAUCGGUAGCCGGCCUGAGAGGGUGAUCGGCCACAUUGGGACUGAGACACGGCCCAGACUCCUACGGGAGGCAGCAGUGGGGAAUUUUGGGCAAUGGGGGAAACCCUGAUCCAGCAAUGCCGCGUGUGUGAAGAAGGCCUGCGGGUUGUAAAGCACUUUCAGUAGGGAGGAAAUCCUUGCGGUUAAUAACCGUAAGUGUUGACGUUACCUACAGAAGAAGCACCGCUAAC
rnacentral:rRNA from 1 species